GACAGAGGGUGCAAACGUUGCUCGGAAUCACUGGGCGUAAAGGGCGUGUAGGCGGGACAGUAAGUCGGGCGUGAAAUCCCUGGGCUCAACCCAGGAACUGCACUCGAAACUACUAUUCUUGAGUGUCGGAGAGGAAAGCGGAAUUCCUGGUGUAGAGGUGAAAUUCGUAGAUAUCAGGAGGAACACCAGUGGCGAAGGCGGCUUUCUGGACGAUAACUGACGCUGAUGGCGC
rnacentral:rRNA from 1 species